GAGGAAUCAAGUGAGAGCUUGAGAAAUAGAGAAGAAAGAGUUAGGGAGAAAUUUUUAGUUGCAAGAAGAGUAGAGGUUCUGAAGGGUUUCGGGGGAAAUAAAUUCGGAGCAGGAGAUUAAGUCUGAAAUAGAGAUGAAGGAAUGUCGUCUGAUCCAAUGCCAAUGAAGGGAGAGACAGAAGAAUAAGUUAGAAGAAUUCGAAUUAUAUUUAUGAGAUUAUAGUUGAAAUCUGAGUUUAAAACAUGUGUAGACAUAUAUUAAUUAUGAAUUUAUAAGUGUGAGAUUACGGGAUAUUACCG
rnacentral:sRNA from 1 species